ensembl:lncRNA novel transcript, antisense to RABEP1
UGCUCUGGCUAAAGCCCACUGGCUCUUAUUGUCUUCAGACUAGAAUCCACUGUGCUUUAUGAUCACUGUCACCCAUUUACAACAAAAUCUUAGUAUCCCACCACCUUCUGGAUAUGAAAGAAGGGAAAAAAGAAUAUGUAUAUAUUUGCUUGUUUUUGUAAAGAGAAAAACAGAAGGAUAAGCCAAAAAUAAAUUAAAAUAAUUACGUAUAAGAGUGAGUGGAAAUGGGGUGAAAAGGACAGGGAAUGGAAAUGGAGCUGAGUAUUUAUUUUUAUACUUUUGAUUAUGAACCAUGUUACAUAUUCAAAAUAUAAAUCAAGAAAGAAAAAUCAAAUCUGAAAAUGUAAUAUAAAGAGAAACAGCCCAGGCGCAGUGGCUCACGGUAAAAUUUAAAUCUCUUCAAUCAUCACCCCUCCCUAAGUGAUGUCUUCAUGGCUUUCCCUUGUAGCUUACAUUCCCAUUAUUUCGUAACAGUCACCCCCUGUGCCCAGCCACAUAACUACUCAUACUUC